GGAUUAGAUACCCUGGUAGUCCACGCCGUAAACGAUGUCUACUAGUUGUCGGGGUCCUUGAGACUUUGGUAACGCAGCUAACGCACUAAGUAGACCGCCUGGGGAGUACGGUCGCAAGAUUAAAACUCAAAUGAAUUGACGGGGGCCCGCACAAGCGGUGGAGCAUGUGGUUUAAUUCGAAGCAACGCGAAGAACCUUACCUGGCCUUGACAUGCUGAGAACUUUCCAGAGAUGGAUUGGUGCCUUCGGGAACUCAGACACAGGUGCUGCAUGGCUGUCGUCAGCUCGUGCCG
rnacentral:rRNA from 1 species